AUUGAACGCUGGCGGCAGGCUUAACACAUGCAAGUCGGACGGUAACAGGGAGGAAGCUUGCUUUCUUUGCUGACGAGUGGCGGACGGGUGAGUAAUGCUUGGGAAUCUGUUUUAUGGAGGGGGAUAACUACGGGAAACUGUAGCUAAUACCGCGUAAUAUCGAGAGAUUAAAGUGUGGGACCGUAAGGCCACAUGCCAUAGAGUGAGCCCAAGUGGGAUUAGGUAGUUGGUGGGGUAAAGGCCUACCAAGCCGUCGAUCUCUAGCUGGUCUGAGAGGAUGACCAGCCACACUGGGACUGAGACACGGCCCAGACUCCUACAGGAGGCAGCAGUGGGGAAUAUUGCACAAUGGGCGCAAGCCUGAUGCAGCCAUGCCGCGUGAAUGAAGAAGGCCUUCGGGUUGUAAAGUUCUUUCGGUGGUGAGGAAGGUUGUAAUGUUAAUAGCAUUAUAAUUUGACGUUAGCCACAGAAGAAGCACCGGCUAACUCCGUGCCAGCAGCCGCGGUAAUACGGAGGGUGCGAGCGUUAAUCGGAAUAACUGGGCGUAAAGGGCACGCAGGCGGAUACUUAAGUGAGGUGUGAAAGCCCUGGGCUUAACCUAGGAAUUGCAUUUCAUACUGGGUAUCUAGAGUAUUUUAGGGAGGGGUAGAAUUCCACGUGUAGCGGUGAAAUGCGUAGAGAUGUGGAGGAAUACCGAAGGCGAAGGCAGCCCCUUGGGGGGAAUACUGACGCUCAUGUGCGAAAGCGUGGGGAGCAAACAGG
rnacentral:rRNA from 1 species